CUAUCGGAGUCCGAUUUAGCCAUGCUAGUUGUGCGGGUUUAGACCCGCAGCGGAAAGCUCAGUAACACGUGGCCAAACUACCCUGUGGAUGGGAACAAUCUCGGGAAACUGAGGCUAAUUCCCAAUAACGCUCCACCCCUGGAACGGGCGGAGCUGGAAACGCUACGGCGCCACAGGAUGUGGCUGCGGUCGAUUAGGUAGACGGUGGGGUAACGGCCCACCGUGCCAAUAAUCGGUACGGGUUGUGAGAGCAAGAGCCCGGAGACGGAAUCUGAGACAAGAUUCCGGGCCCUACGGGGCGCAGCAGGCGCGAAACCUUUACACUGUACGCAAGUGCGAUAAGGGGACUCCGAGUGUGAAGGCAUAGAGCCUUCACUUUUGUACACCGUAAGGUGGUGUACGAAUAAGGGCUGGGCAAGACCGGUGCCAGCCGCCGCGGUAAUACCGGCAGCCCGAGUGAUGGCCGAUAUUAUUGGGCCUAAAGCGUCCGUAGCUGGCCGGACAAGUCCGUUGGGAAAUCUGUUCGCUUAACGAGCAGGCGUCCAGCGGAAACUGUUCGGCUUGGGACCGGAAGACCUGAGGGGUACGUCCGGGGUAGGAGUGAAAUCCUGUAAUCCUGGACGGACCACCGGUGGCGAAAGCGCCUCAGGAGGACGGAUCCGACAGUGAGGGACGAAAGCUAGGGUCUCGAACCGGAUUAGAUACCCGGGUAGUCCUAGCUGUAAACGAUGCCCGCUAGGUGUGGCGCAGGCUACGAGCCUGCGCUGUGCCGUAGGGAAGCCGAGAAGCGGGCCGCCUGGGAAGUACGUCUGCAAGGAUGAAACUAA
rnacentral:rRNA from 1 species